rnacentral:rRNA from 1 species
GGGAUAACAGUUGGAAACGGCUGCUAAAACCGCAUAACAUGGAGAUACCGCAUGAUAUUUCCAUCAAAUAUUUAUAGGUACAGGAUGGGCCCGCGUCUGAUUAGCCAGUUGGCAGGGUAAUGGCCUACCAAAGCGACGAUCAGUAGCCGGCUUGAGAGAGUGACCGGCCACAUUGGGACUGAGACACGGCCCAAACUCCUACGGGAGGCAGCAGUGGGGGAUAUUGCACAAUGGGGGAAACCCUGAUGCAGCGACGCCGCGUGAGUGAAGAAGUAUUUCGGUAUGUAAAGCUCUAUCGGCAGGGAAGAAAAAGCGCGCGAGCGCCCUUGACAGUACCUGACUAAGAAGCCCCGGCUAACUACGUGCCAGCAGCCGCGGUAAUACGUAGGGGGCAAGCGUUAUCCGGAUUUACUGGGUGUAAAGGGAGCGUAGGCGGCCAUGCAAGUCAGAAGUGAAAACCCGGGGCUCAAUCCUGGGAGUGCUUUUGAAACUGUGCGGCUAGAGUGUCGGAGGGGUAAGUGGAAUUCCUAGUGUAGCGGUGAAAUGCGUAGAUAUUAGGAGGAACACCAGUGGCGAAGGCAGCUUACUGGACGAUGACUGACGCUGAGGCUCGAAAGCGUGGGGAGCAAACAGGAUUAGAUACCCUGGUAGUCCACGCCGUAAAUGAUGAAUACUAGGUGUCGGGGGUCAUAAGACUUUCGGUGCCGUCG